UUAAAUUGAAGAGUUUGAUCAUGGCUCAGAUUGAACGCUGGCGGCAGGCCUAACACAUGCAAGYCGAACGGUAACAG
rnacentral:rRNA from 1 species